rnacentral:rRNA from 1 species
UGGUUAGUGGCAGACGGGUGAGUAAUGCAUAGGAAUCUGCCUGGUAGUAUAGGAUAGCCACUAGAAAUGGUGGGUAAUACUGUAUAAUCCCUGCGGGGGAAAGAUUUAUCGCUACUAGAUGAGCCUAUGUCAGAUUAGCUAGUUGGUGGGGUAAUGGCCCACCAAGGCUGUGAUCUGUAGCUGGUCUGAGAGGAUGAUCAGCCACACUGGAACUGAGACACGGUCCAGACUCCUACGGGAGGCAGCAGUGGGGAAUAUUGGACAAUGGGCGCAAGCCUGAUCCAGCUAUGCCGCGUGAGUGAGGAAGGCCUUAGGGUUGUAAAACUCUUUCAGUAGGGAAGAUAAUGACGGUACCUACAGAAGAAGUCCCGGCAAACUCCGUGCCAGCAGCCGCGGUAAUACGGAGGGGGCAAGCGUUGUUCGGAAUUAUUGGGCGUAAAGGGCAUGUAGGCGGUUUGGUAAGUUAAAGGUGAAAUACCAGGGCUU